AGGAAUUUUCAUUAACAAUGCACACAUCAGUAUAAAACAUAACGCGUUGGCUCCAUGUUCGUCGUACGUACAUUUCAAAUCAACCCUGACGUUUCUGAAGCAGAAACCUAUUUUAAUGACACUUGUGACUGGAAAGUUUAAUUAUGAUCGUCUAGUUCGCUUGGGACGAAUCGGGUUCGAGGCUUACGAUUUUUCUCAGUCCGUGAAGGCAAAUGCUGAUAGGGACAGGUCGGACCCGACCCCUUCCGCGUUCUUCGUAGCCACAAUCAUCGCAUCGAUCGCUGGUAUAUAUCGAUAAGAAAGAAAUUAAAAUAUAUGAAUGGCUGUAUGUGAUUGGAGGUAAAUUUGAAAACAACAAAGAAACUGAAUAAAUCCAACUUCAGUGUUGCAUUCGUUGUAGCAAAAUCAUUUUGAGAGGCGAUCUAACUAACCAUCUGGGCGAGUUAGCAAAGCAGAGAAUUGUUAGGCUAAAAAUCAAUUCACAUUCUGUGCAGGAGUGACGCGACGAGAUGACGACACUGAAUACUGCAUGUAACAUAGAAGAUGAUAAUAUGAUACAGAAUAACAGAGCUACUGCCUAGCAUUCCUUGCACUAGAAGGAAGUGAGCGAUAGGUUUACAACGCCUUCUGUGUUCUAAAAGACGGCGUCGGAUGUGAACGGCUGAUCUUUGAGAUCGCACAACGUCCAGAAUGAUCAACACAAAACGUGAGUCAACAGCGAGACCAAGCAGCCACGUGUCCUUCAACUGUUUCGGCCGAGGUUGGAAACUUGAGAAGCAAAUAUCUUGUGUCGGCGACUGGAACGAGAUUGGUGCACAUGGACUCCAGCACAUGGCUGGUGAUGAUGAUAUGUUUCAAUCCACGCGUGCUUCAGAAGGCAGACAAAAGCGAGACGAAACUUUCACUACGUGUCGCCUUCGUCAGAUCCCUCGAACUUGUGCUGAGCUUGGUUCGUUGCCUCGGCUCCGCGUCAGGCAUGGAGCGAGACGGUCAGAGCGAGUGCGGCUAAUGGAAGACAGCACAUGCAGC